UGGACNUGUUACUAAAAUGCUUGCUGCAUGUACCCACUUGGGUACUUCAAAUGUAGACUUUCAAAUGGAACAGUACAUCUAUAAACGACGUUCUGACGGAGUUCAUAUCAUAAAUUUACGUCGUACUUGG